CUAUCUUCUCGAUAUUUAUUAUUUUGUUUCUUACUUUGUAGGCUUAUUUGUGUUGCCUCAAACAUGAGACUGCUGAGAGUGUUCCUAGGCUGAAUAUGGCUACUAUUUGGGUGCCAGGUGACAUGGUUUUAAAUAGGGCAUUAGAUUUUGAUUUGCUGUGAAGGACACAAUUAUUUGAGCACGGAAGGCAACAAAGGUGCAUGAUCUCAUGAAGAGGGCAUUCUUUUAUGUGAGGCUUGGUACAGACGUCUUGUCAUCCCUGCUGUCUGCGCUACUCAACUGAAUGUCGGCGUGGACGCUGGCGCAUUCCAGGGGGUGCAUUUGAGCAGCGACAGUCAUCUUGGCGAUUCAGGGUCACAACCAUUGCCGGGAGAAAGUCAACGAGAAGUGGAGACAUGCAUGAUCCAAGUGAUGAUGCAUGAAUGUUUACUAACGCUGAAAUUUGCUAUAGCAGCAGUAGAUUGACAGAGAAAACCAAGCAAUGCUGGAGAUUCAGCUCCAGCCUGAUGGACUGAUAUCAGGAUGAAGCUGGUUUUCCUCUAGGCGUUGCCUUGCUUUUUUGCUACUGGUUUCUUUGGCUACAUGCUUUGCGUUGCUUGAAGCCAGGUUUUAGCAAUGGUGUCAACCUCCAUUGAGCCGUUGCCGACCUCCACCGAGCAGUCGCUGCUUCUCCUAGGGCCCCUGUCCCGGUCCUCUCCAACAAGGGUAUAUAUCAAGAAGGUUGUUGGUGAAAGGGGCGAGUUCUGUAGACGAGUGCACCAUGGGAUGAAGGAGGAUGCUCUUAAGCAUGUAUUCGUGAGUAGAGUGAUGGAUGUCAAGGACUUUCCUGUAUGGAUUCGGCUUUCGUAUGUCUGUGCUUCUAAUGGUCUGGUACUCAUGGACGAGUUGUUGCAACUGUUACCUGCGGUUGAAAUUGUUGAUCUUAGUCGGAACCAGUUUGCAAAUGUGGAUAAUCUAUGGAAAUGUACAAAGAUGCAAAAUUUGGACCUUGGAUUAAUCAUUUGCAUUCUGUUUCAUCCCUGAGUGAGGAUUUCUGAUGAAGGGUUGUGUUAGUUGAGGAUCCUUUGUUUUGUUGUUCAGGUGUGCCUUCGAGUCCAUCAGGUAUAGUUUCGCUCCACCUGCAUUCUUUUCUUUCCUGUUGUCAUGAUGUCUUUCUUGGUUCCGUUUCCUUUGUUUAUCACGAUGCUCAAGUGCAACUGU